GACGGAGGAUGCAAGUGUUAUCCGGAAUCACUGGGCGUAAAGCGUCUGUAGGUGGUUUAAUAAGUCAACUGUUAAAUCUUGAGGCUCAACCUCAAAAUCGCAGUCGAAACUAUUAGGCUAGAGUAUAGUAGGGGUAAAGGGAAUUUCCAGUGGAGCGGUGAAAUGCGUAGAGAUUGGAAAGAACACCGAUGGCGAAAGCACUCUGCUGGGCCGACACUGACACUGAGAGACGAAAGCUAGGGGAGCGAAUGGG
rnacentral:rRNA from 1 species